CUACGGAGGGUGCAAGCGUUAUCCGGAUUCAUUGGGUUUAAAGGGUGCGCAGGCGGAGUGAUAAGUCAGUGGUGAAAUCCUACAGCUUAACUGUAGAACUGCCAUUGAUACUGUCAUUCUUGAGUACACUUGAAGUGGGCGGAAUGUAUCAUGUAGCGGUGGAAUGCAUAGAUAUGAUACAGAACUCCGAUAGCGAAGGCAGCUCACUAAAUUGUAACUGACGCUCAGGCACGAAAGCGUGGGGAGCAAACAGGAUUAGAAACCCCAGUAGUCC
rnacentral:rRNA from 1 species